CUAUAUUUGAGCCUGCCUAUGUCAAUUCCCAGAUGCUCUGCUCCGUACAAAUUAUUUGAUCAGGAUUCUACUGUGGGGUUUUUUUUCUUGAAAAAUCACCUAAGUUUAUAUCUCUCUCUCCAGUUGUUCAGAUAGAUUAUAUUCUCUUCAUUUUUUACCCUUUUUUGUCAGAUUUUUCUACUCUCAAUUUUUUCUAAGACAAGUAAAUCUCUUUUUUUCCUUUCAUCAAUUCUCUUUUUCUUUUUUUGUCUAUUAAGAACAUACUCGGUUAACACAGAUCUAAAGAAAUCCUCAAGUGAUUUUCUCAACUCUUUUGAUUUUAUGUUACUUUUCUUCAUUAUUUUUUCAAAUCUAUUUGAAAUUUGAUAGUUGAGAAUUUUAAACAAAUGUUGAAUAGAGUUUUUUAUUGUGUUUAGGCAAGUGUUCAUAUUCGAUUCUCUAAUUCUGAUUUAGGAACUCACUCUAUUUCUCCUCUCAUUUUCUUUAAUUUUAAGCAUGAUUUACGUAGUUCAAGUUUAGAUUAGGGUUUCCUAAAACACUAAUUAAGAAUUUUGAUCCCCAAAAUUUAGGGUUGCUUAGGAAAUAUAGAUAUCAAUAUAGGGUUGCUUAGGGUUGUUGGUCUUUCUUUUAUUGAUUUGUGAGAUAUUUUAAAGUUGGAUUUUCGUUUUCAUUAAUUUUCUCUUUCUUUUAUUUUCUACUUGAUUGCAGUUAAUGUUUUCUAUUUUGUCUCUUGUAGGAGUAACAUGACUUUAGUUGCUUGAGAAUUUGACAUAGGAGCUUUUGCGUACAGAAGAGUGACAAGGCUCCAUCAGCAUGGAAGGUGGCAAGCUAGAAUAGGAAGGGUUGCUGGAAACAAGGGCUUGUACCUUGAAACAUUUAGUAAGCUUUUGUUCCUUUUUUCCUUCUCCUUUAACUUUUGGUUCAUUGUUUAGAAAGUGCCAUGUCUCAACAUUUCUCAUAAUUGUUCAAGUAGUUCAUUUAUUAUAGACUUUAAAGUUAAUGAUUCUAGGUUUCAGGAUUGAAUGCAGAACCAUAUAUGAUGAAAUCAGAUCUAGUUUAUAUUUAAUUCUUGCAUUAAGUUUUUUGAACUGUCCCACCGGUUCAUGUCAGUGUUUCUUUUAUUUUUCUUUCCCUUACAAUCGCCUUUAUAUUGCUCAGCUAGGUAAUUCAAAGGCAUGCUUGAUGAAAUUGGCAGCUGGAUUAUAAUUUUGUCCUUCACUUUUUAUUUUUAAAAUUUAAUGCAGUUUAGCUCUCAAUUCCCAAAGAAUCCUAACUGUGGUAUGCAAUAAUAUAACUUAUAUUAUUAUAAAAUUUGUUAAUACCCCAUUUUCUUUCUAUGUUAUAUGGCACCUUUGUUACCCUUGCAAUUGAGUUUAUUUCUUUUAUGCAUAAUAUUUAUAUAUUUUGGUUUAGUAAUAUUAUUUUGUAUGCUAACAUUUAUUGAAUUAAUGUCAUCUAUUGCUUCCAUGUUUUACCUACAGUACCUGAUUUUAAGACUGGAUUUAGAAAGAUUGGAUUUAUAGGAUAUCUAGUAUACUUACUCUAGAAUCAUUGAGAUAGCAUGCAUUCAGGCUAUAUUUGAUUCAUAUGAGGUCUUAUCAUAUAUGUUAAAACAUAAAAACACCUUUUGUACAUAAAUCUGGUUUAAAAUGUUGUUAAUGUCUCCCCCGGUGCAUCUUUGAAGAUUCUUUGUUUGGUUUGGUGGCAAGAACAAACCCGUCAUCUUUGGCAUCAUUUGGACAUGUGAUGGGUGUUUUGAGCUAUGCUUGGCUCCUUCUGAUUACUAAAGGGUGAGGGAAGCUCUUUGGAUCCUUAUCAUGGUUUUCUAAUGUAUUGUUCUCUGCUGGGAGCUUCCUUGUUUUUGAUGACUCGUGAUCCUAGGGGUCUCUUUUUUAAUCUUCUGGUGGCAGUUUCUAAUAGUGAAACGCAGCAAGGUCUUGAGGUAAGGAAGGCUGAGAACUACAAUGUCAGCUGGUUUUGUUAGAUUGGAGAAUGGACAAACAAAUAUGUAUAGAGAGGAAUUAGAGAGAAGAAGAGAGAAAGAGAGAUGAUUAAACUUAGUUAAGGAAACCCCAUGCUUUAUAUUAUUUCUAACAGUUG